UGGGGAAUUUUGGACAAUGGGCGAAAGCCUGAUCCAGCAAUGCCGCGUGUGUGAAGAAGGCCUUCGGGUGUAAAGCACUUUUGUCCGGAAAGAAAUCCUUGGCUCUAAUACAGUCGGGGGAUGACGGUACCGGAAGAAUAAGCACCGGCUAACUACGUGCCAGCAGCCGCGGUAAUACGUAGGGUGCAAGCGUUAAUCGGAAUUACUGGGCGUAAAGCGUGCGCAGGCGGUUUGCUAAGACCGAUGUGAAAUCCCCGGGCUCAACCUGGGAACUGCAUUGGUGACUGGCAGGCUAGAGUAUGGCAGAGGGGGGUAGAAUUCCACGUGUAGCAGUGAAAUGCGUAGAGAUGUGGAGGAAUACCGAUGGCGAAGGCAGCCCCCUGGGCCAAUACUGACGCUCAUGCACGAAAGCGUGGGGAGCAAACAGGAUUAGAUACCCUGGUAGUCCACGCCCUAAACGAUGUCAACUAGUUGUUGGGGAUUCAUUUCCUUAGUAACGUAGCUAACGCGUGAAGUUGACCGCCUGGGGAGUACGGUCGCAAGAUUAAAACUCAAAUGAAUUGACGGGGUCAUAGCUGUUUCCU
rnacentral:rRNA from 1 species